CUCCUAUAUCUAUGCUAUAAACGCUCUGCCGAAAGUCGUGGUAUUUUAGGAUACCUACACCAACAGCCGUUCCGCACAUUGUAACCAAUAAUUUAUUGGCGUUGCAAUGCUAUUGUAUGCAAUAAAGUAUUGGGUUGUAAUGGGUCUACAAUUAAUCCAAACGUUAAUCCUAAUCCAAACCCUAAUCCUAACCCUAACCUCUAACCCUUAACGCCACCUCUUAACCCCUAAUCCCGCACCCUAACCCCUAACCCCGGCCGGCUACCCCUCCGGGGAAAAUACGCGCCGCGUUGUCGAAUCGCGUCUGGUGUGUCUCGGCUUAAUGGACUGCAUUAUACACUAAAUUUUGAUUUUGGGCUGUCAAUUUCCCGUGCGUAUAUUACAAAAUGACUGAAAAACGGCAAAUUUCGCAGGGCUAUAUUAUCCGCAUUUUACAACAUUUCGCAACGAAACUUUGGAAUAUUACUAAUUUUGUGAUGCUCUUUCAAGCUGUGAUGAAAUUUUUGUCUAGAUCAAAAUUUAGUCUAUAAUGCAAAUGGUCCAUUUAAUAGUCGAAGUGAUUGCCGCUACGCGACUCGCGAAAUGACUUGCCGUCACGCGACUCACGCGAUGUAUGCUUCAAAAUGGCGGGCGUCCAGGGGGUAAAUGCCUUACUAGCAUAAGAAAUGUAAACUUGACGGCCUUUUUAAAAUUUAUCUCGUCUUUUUGUUCAAAUGCAAACACAGUAUUAUUGUUAUAUUGCCUUUGUGCUUUUG